UAGAAUUAAAAGAUUUGAAUUCAAAGCCUACGGGUAUCAGUCAGGAUUUGAAAGGAAGCUAUACUAUGUGAACUCUUCUUGAACCGAGAUUUAAGUCAUAUGGUCAUAAAUCACUGGGACAUAAACUCCGCCAUUCACCAGUGAUAGCCUAUUUGUGUCCAGCUUACCUUAGCCUCUGACGAUAGACGCGGACCACGGCACAAUAUUUGCAGAUUCACCAGGGAAAUCGAUAAGCAGGAGUUUCAAAACUUCCAAAUUAAGUAGAAUGAAGGCAAACAGUUUACUCUUACACGCUGAAAGUCACUGGUUGACGACAACGACAAAUGGGGAAGGGAAAAUGGUAGAGCGGCAAAGAACAGGCGAGAAGACUCUAGCUUUUGGAUGGACAGCCCUGUGAUUAUGGUAGCGUGCCCUGGUCAGGGAGAUAAGACUGCUAUCAGCUUUCCUGGCUGCUCUUAUCUAAUACCAAAGAAAUGGGUCAAUGAAGAAAAGGUGUUAACAACGCUGAAGUAAAAGUGUUUCAGACAUAGGAGCGAAAAGUUACACAUCAGAAGCAAAACCGAGGCAAAGGAGGCGAGAACUGAAGGAGCUAUAGUCACCCCUAAUGCAUACCAAUGCUUCUGUCGUUUAUGGCUACGUAAGAUUUAUGACUUCAUGCACUAAGGCUGUAAACAGAGCACUAAAGUGAAAACACUUGCUCCUAUCGCUUAUUGCGAUGCAACUGCAUGAAAGGGGAAGCCAAACAGCGUAGGAGGCAAGAUAGGGACAAAAAUUCACUCGUUUGCAACUUUUCAAGUAAGCCGCUCAGUGUUCUAUCUGUGGUGAAGCACUUUAUUGUCAAUGAACAGUCCUAGCACUUUCUUAAAGUGCUGACUUCAACUUUUUCCCUCUUUCUCUGGCGAUCGCAGGAAGGUAGCAUAAAGUAAUGUCACGAUGCUGGAUUUUAAAAAAAAUACUUGUUAUAACUUGGGCUAGUUCAGUGAAAUUUAAUUAAGAAGCGACUGGAAAGAAAGUGAAAGCGCCCGUUUAUGUGAGGGUGUCUUCCAACAUCUUCGGGAGCUUGCUGGGUACAGUGAAUUCAAAUUCUCGAUUAGAAACGUUUUACGCCAUUCGGGACUGCCGACUCUCCCUGCGUCCACUCGCUAAGUUUUGCAGAGAGCAAGUGAAUGCUAAGAGCAGAGAACGUAUGGGUUGAUUUGAGCGAUAAGAUGCUAUGCUUUUAUGCCAGGUGUUGAGAAUUUAUUACAACGGCCAUAACUUCCAUUUUUAAAAACAUCUUGCUCGAGAUUGGAAGACCAUAACCAAAAGUUUAUAUUUCCGCCAGCCAUCUUUAAUACUUUCAUAUUCUGCCUGCUAUGAAUUAGUAUCCAUUUUAAGGCCUAGAAUGCAUGCUUUAUGGCUGUAUGUAAUUCCUUCUGUAAUUGUUACAUUUAUGUUUAUUUUUGAGCUAUUCUGAAAUCUACAUGUAAAAGUAUGGUGUGGUCAUUUUAUUUCACUGGUCGCUUGCGGUUGGGUUAAUAAAGUGUUCUUGUAAUGUCAGCAUGUGCGAUUGCAACGAUCAUAUGUAUUUUUAAAAUUCAGAAUAGUACAGACAACUCACCGAAAGUUCGUCAGUCUCACUGAAAAGUCUCUGGCUGUAGAAUUGUUAUUUAGAAUAUAGUCUGGAACGGAAACGAGAAACCAUUAAUUGCCACCGAAUAAAAAAAAGGCGUCGGUCGACUGAGAAACUGAGCAAUUCUUGCCUUGACUAAAUCGGCGUGGCUUAUUAACGAAAAUAAAUCAACCUAGCUUUUUGAAUCAAUUUUACACCUAACAUAGCCUUCUGAUCAAAGGGAAAAUGCUAUCUGAGGGACGUUGAGGUUUUUUUUGUGAAAUAUUUUAUGAAAAUUAGAAGCCGAGGAUGGAUCUUGCAGAUUUUCUGUACGAAAUCGGUGAUAAAGCAUUCUUACGUGUGCAUCUUUUUGAAGUACAUUUGUGCUAAUGCAACUCUCAUUUGCUCUCAAACACUGUAAAAGACUUGUAUUAUUUAUGUGUGUUUAAUAUUGACAAGUUUGCAUCAGGGUUGGAUCAUAAAUCAGGGGAAAAUGCUGUAACCGAACUGUAAUUAAAUUUUACAUGUAUUUACCAAAA